GUCGCUCCUACCGAUCGAGUGAUCCGGUGAACCUUCUGGACUGCUGCAGUCUUCAGGCUGCGGUGGGAAGUUAAGUAAACCUUAUCACUUAGAGGAAGGAGAAGUCGUAACAAGGUUUCCGU
rnacentral:rRNA from 1 species